UUGGGUUUUUCACCUAAAAACGCUGAUCUACGAAAAUUCAAUCAUCCAAAUUCAAAUCUGAUUUCGAAAACGUGAACUACGAAACUUGAUCUACGUUUCAACCGAUUGGUUCGAGUGAUACAUUGCAAGGUGGUGUCUAGGAGACCUAGUGAUUAAAUCCGCGCAGCCAAGACAUUGAUACUUUGGUUGUAGGUUCUGCGGAUAUAGAUAAUGAUUCGUCCACCUAGCGUAUGGGAUGCUAUGAUUGGAGCACAUCGCGACAGUCAUAAGUCACAAACUCAUGGGUAGUCCACAUUUGAGUAUUUUAUUUAUGGCUCGUGUCAUACGUGACAUAGGUAUUUGUUGAGCCUGUAUUUUAGUAUAUAGUCAGUGUAAUAUGUUUUAUAAGCCUUAAAUAGAUAGACUUGUAAAUGGCUCUUGUUGUAAUUAACUGUUAUAUAUUAGGUGUAUUUCCGCUUA